rnacentral:rRNA from 1 species
UUUGCCAAGAAUGUUUCCGUUAAUCAAGAACGAAAGUUAGAGGUUCGAAGGCGAUCAGAUACCGCCCUAGUUCUAACCAUAAACGAUGCCAGCCAGCGAUCCGCCGAAGUUCCUCCGAUGACUCGGCGGGCAGCUUCCGGGAAACCAAAGCUUUUGGGUUCCGGGGGAAGUAUGGUUGCAAAGCUGAAACUUAAAGGAAUUGACGGAAGGGCACCACCAGGAGUGGAGCCUGCGGCUUAAUUUGACUCAACACGGGAAACCUCACCAGGCCCGGACACCGGAAGGAUUGACAGAUUGAGAGCUCUUUCUUGAUUCGGUGGGUGGUGGUGCAUGGCCGUUCUUAGUUGGUGGAGCGAUUUGUCUGGUUAAUUCCGGUAACGAACGAGACUCUAGCCUGCUAAAUAGACGAUUUCCGGUAUCCACAAUAGUGCUACCGGCGAAAUCAAUAUCUUCUUAGAGGGACAGGCGGCUUUCAGCCGCACGAAACUGAGCAAUAACAGGUCUGUGAUGCCCUUAGAUGUCCUGGGCCGCACGCGCGCUACACUGAAGGAAUCAGCGUGUACACCCUGGCCGAAAGGCUCGGGCAACCCGUUGAACCUCCUUCGUGCUAGGGAUUGGGGCUUGCAAUUGUUCCCCAUGAACGAGGAAUUCCCAGUAAGCGCGAGUCAUAAGCUCGCGUUGAUUACGUCCCUGCCCUUUGUACACACCGCCCGUCGCUACUACCGAUUGAAUGAUUUAGUGAGGUCUUCGGACUGGUGCGCGGCGGCCGCCUCCGCGGCCGCCGAUGCCACCGGGAAGAUGACCGAACUUGAUCAUUU